rnacentral:rRNA from 1 species
ACUCCUACGGGAGGCAGCAGUGGGGAAUUUUGAACAAUGAGCGAAAGCCUGAUCCAGCCAUGCCGCGUGCAGGAUGAAGGCCUUCGGGUUGUAAACUGCUUUUGUACGGAACGAAACGGCCUUUUCUAAUAAAGAGGGCUAAUGACGGUACCGUAAGAAUAAGCACCGGCUAACUACGUGCCAGCAGCCGCGGUAAUACGUAGGGUGCAAGCGUUAAUCGGAAUUACUGGGCGUAAAGCGUGCGCAGGCGGUUAUGUAAGACAGUUGUGAAAUCCCCGGGCUCAACCUGGGAACUGCAUCUGUGACUGCAUAGCUAGAGUACGGUAGAGGGGGAUGGAAUUCCGCGUGUAGCAGUGAAAUGCGUAGAUAUGCGGAGGAACACCGAUGGCGAAGGCAAUCCCCUGGACCUGUACUGACGCUCAUGCACGAAAGCGUGGGGAGCAAACAGGAUUAGAUACCCGAGUAGUCCC